rnacentral:rRNA from 1 species
GACGAACGCUGGCGGCGUGCUUAACACAUGCAAGUCGAACGGUAAGGCCCUUCGGGUACGACGAGUGGCGAACGGGUGAGUAACACGUGGUGAUCUGCCCUGCACUUCGGGAUAAGCUUGGGAAACUGGGUCUAAUACCGGAUAGGACCACGGUCUGCAUGGAUUGUGGUGGAAAGCUUUUUGCGGUGUGGGAUGGGCCCGCGGCCUAUCAGCUUGUUGGUGGGGUGAUGGCCUACCAAGGCGACGACGGGUAGCCGGCCUGAGAGGGUGUCCGGCCACACUGGGACUGAGAUACGGGCCCAGACUCCUACGGGAGGCAGCAGUGGGGAAUAUUGCACAAUGGGCGCAAGCCUGAUGCAGCGACGCCGCGU